rnacentral:rRNA from 1 species
UAGGGAAUCUUCCGCAAUGGGCGAAAGCCUGACGGAGCAACGCCGCGUGAGUGAUGAAGGUCUUCGGAUCGUAAAACUCUGUUAUUAGGGAAGAACAAAUGUGUAAGUAACUAUGCACGUCUUGACGGUACCUAAUCAGAAAGCCACGGCUAACUACGUGCCAGCAGACGCGGUAAUACGUAGGUGGCAAGCGUUAUCCGGAAUUAUUGGGCGUAAAGCGCGCGUAGGCGGUUUUUUAAGUCUGAUGUGAAAGCCCACGGCUCAACCGUGGAGGGUCAUUGGAAACUGGAAAACUUGAGUGCAGAAGAGGAAAGUGGAAUUCCAUGUGUAGCGGUGAAAUGCGCAGAGAUAUGGGGGAACACCAGUGGCGAAGGCGACUUUCUGGUCUGUAACUGACGCUGAUGUGCGAAAGCGUGGGGAUCAAACAGG